rnacentral:tRNA from 1 species
CAAAAUGUAGCUUAAUCUAAAGCAUUUCGCUUACACCGAAAAGAUAUCUGUAAAACCAAAUCAUUUUGA